UCAACAAAAGAAGAGCCAAAAAUGAUACCAGAUGCUACUUAAAACUUUUGAGAAAUUCUUGGUGAGGGUACACACAUAGGCAUCAUAACUGCGAAUGUGCAGCAUUGAAGUUGACCAUCCUUUGUUAGCUAAGGAAACAGCAAGGCAAAAUAUGACACAGUUAAUGAAUCAAACCUAGAAACAUAAUGAUCUGGCAGGAGGUAAACUGUAGGGUGAAAUAAUAAUAGAUUCAAGUUGCCACCUAGAACAGUGAUCCGACCUACACUUACUUGUUUUGAAUGAUUUGUUUUUCUGCUCUCUCUUCUAAGGGUGUGAUCUCUGAGUAUAUGUGUGUAAACCAAGUAUUGAGCACUCUCGUCAACACAGUACUAAAGAAUCUGAUUUGACCUUCAUGUCAACUCAGCAAAGGAGGUAUUACCAUUCAUCAUUGUAGAAUGAAUUGAGAUUUGAGAAGGGUUAGACACUUUCUCCAAAUCUCACAACAGGCUUUAGUCCUGUCUGAUUGAAAGAUGUAACAUCACUGGGGAGCUGAGCGAUCACCCCUCCUUCGUUGUUCUAGAGGGAAGGAGGAAGGGAGAAGCAGAGGAAGCAAAAGAGAAAAAUCACUGGGAGAAAAAGAUGACUUAGGAAUCAAUGACACAACCAUUUAUGAAGUUCAAAGAAGAGAAAAAGGAAGCAUGGAACAAAGAAUACAGAGAGAGAAAAGACGCAAAUCAGUGGAAGAGGAAAUGAGAAAGAUUAACUUGGUGAUAUUGGGUCCCAGAUAUAUUUAUUAUCUGUCUACCUACCUAUCCAUCUGUCUGUCUAUUAUACAUUUUCUUCAUGUGUCCCUGAAAAUGGGGGAAACAAGAAGACUUUUUAUGGCAUUGCCCCUCUUGCCUAUUCUCUGGUCUCUGUGUCACCUGGAGUGCCCCAUAUGUAAUUUGUAGCCAUACUCUAAUAAAU